CAACACUGGCACUUCAAAAUGAGCCGCCACUUUUUUUAGAUUGUGAGAUAGAUUGUGAAUGUAAGGAAUCACCGGGAAAAAAGUGGCGGCUCAUUUUGAAGUGCCAGUGUUG
rnacentral:pre_miRNA from 1 species